AUGUGUGUGCAGCCGAACGUGUCGUCUGGGGGCCGCCAAGCCGCUUCUCAUUCCGCCACUCUGGGACUCCACCGGCCUUGGCAUUAUUAUCAACUAAUUCUGAUGAUGUAAAAUUCGAAGUACGCGGGACCGCUGUGGACUCCAGAAGGAUGCUAACCCCUGGGAAGGAGGAUUCCCCCGCCUCUCACCUGUGGGGUCUUAGCCAAAUGACUACCAGGCUCCAGAAUGAGGACAAGAAGUGGUUCCCAGAACGAUGAGAAUGACAGAGCAGCUCCGUUACAGAGAGAGAAGGAGGCCAUUCACACCAAGCCCUACAGUCUACUUCUUGGCUCACCUGAGGAGCUUUCAAACCAGUAGUUCUGGAAGCUGGCCCCAAAUCGUCUGAAGGGGAAGAGUUGCAGGCAGGAUCCCCCAGGUGAUUCACUGAGCGGCCAGGCUUGGCUCUGAAGAACCAGCAUGGAGUGCUGCCCAGGGGCCGGGUAGGAAUAAAGACGGAGAGAUGUCUACGGGUCCGACCUUUUGGGAGUUGGGUUUUGUAGGGUGCAGAGUGACUGAAGGCGGAGGAAGUCGAGGUUGUGUUCUCCUGAGAACUGUCUGCACGUCUCUCUGAACCCCUCACGACUGGACACUAAGGAGUAUAAAUAACCAUUCUUUAAAAAUUAUACUUCCUCUCCAACCUUGAAUUUGAAAUGUGAAUAUAUGAAUAUAAUAGCUCUGGAAUUACUAUGCAGAUUUAUGAGGAUAACGAUUUAGGUUACAUCACAGGCCCGGCUAGGCCUUUCUUUUUGAGGCUGGGAAUGUGUUAAAGUGGGGAUAUAGUUUUGGGAAAAUGUGAUUUUCACAUACACCUGCUGAAGCUCUCCCACGUGUGUGUGUGUGUGUGGGGGGGGGGGGGUCUCUUGCAGAGUUAAGACCUGAUUCUAAAAUCGAGAAGGCAGGGAUAAAAUAUCCAAUCUGGAACUUGCAGGGAGUGAAGCUUCCCUCCAACCUUUCCACUGUUUGAAGUGCAUGUGUGUGUGUGUGUGUGUGUGUGUUUGUUUUUUUUUUAAAAUAGCGGACAUAAUUCAGCUGGAGGAGGUAGGAUUUUUCUGCUCUUUGUUUCAAAAGAAAUGGACCGACUCUAGCUUGUGCAACUGUCCCUCCCGCGUUUAGUACCUAAAAUAAAAUAAGCCUCGUUGCUCGCA